rnacentral:rRNA from 1 species
AUUGAACGCUGGCGGCAGGCCUAACACAUGCAAGUCGAGCGGACGAAGGGAGCUUUCUCUUGUCUUCCGUGGCGGACGGGUGGGUAAUGCCCAGGAAUCUGCCCGGCCGUGGGGGCUAACGUCCGGUCAGGGGACCUAAUAUCGUACCCGUCCUUAUGUUGAACGUGGGGGUUCUUUGGUCCUCACGCUAUCUGCUGUGCCUAGGUCGUAUUAGCUAGUUGGUAAGGUAAAGGCCUACCAAGGCGACGAUCCGUAACUGGUCUGAGAGGCUGAUCGGUCACACUGGAACUGAGACACGGUCCAGACUCCUACGGGAGGCAGCAGUAGGGAAUAUUGCGCAAUGGGCGAAAGCCUGAUCCAGCAAUGCCGCGUGUGUGAAGAAGGUCUUCGGAUUGUAAAGCACUUUAAGUAGGGAGGAAGAGCAGUGAAAUAAUCCCUUGCUGUUUUGACGUUACCUAAAGAAUAAGCACCGGCUAACUACGUG